CCUACGGGUGGCUGCAGUGGGGAAUAUUGGACAAUGGGCGAAAGCCUGAUCCAGCCAUGCCGCGUGUGUGAAGAAGGCCUUCGGGUUGUAAAGCACUUUCAGUGGGGAAGAAAGCCUUGGGGCUAAUACCCUCGAGGAAGGACAUCACCCACAGAAGAAGCACCGGCUAACUCCGUGCCAGCAGCCGCGGUAAUACGGAGGGUGCGAGCGUUAAUCGGAAUUACUGGGCGUAAAGCGCGCGUAGGCGGUCUGAUAAGCCGGUUGUGAAAGCCCUGGGCUCAACCUGGGAACGGCAUCCGGAACUGUCAGGCUAGAGUGCAGGAGAGGAAGGUAGAAUUCCCGGUGUAGCGGUGAAAUGCGUAGAGAUCGGGAGGAAUACCAGUGGCGAAGGCGGCCUUCUGGACUGACACUGACGCUGAGGUGCGAAAGCGUGGGUAGCAAACAGGAUUAGAUACCCUAGUAGUC
rnacentral:rRNA from 1 species